CCCCAGACUUUCUCCUCUACAUAAAAUCAGAGAGAGACUAGAGAAGAGAGAGAGAAGCCGUCGGGAUCUAACAUGUGCGAUUCUGGCUACAAUAACAAUGACAACCACAACUGUUCAGAUUCCGAUCGUCGGAACGGAUCGUGCAACACCGGCGGUUGAUGGUGGUUUGUGGUGUUUGGUGACCGGUGGUGAUGGCAGGAAGACGCUGAAGACUGAGUUUUCUGAAGCUUUUGAACAGGAGAAGGGUUUUCAUUGAAUGGCUUUGUUUUGUGGUUUGGGCGGAUUGAUCUCAAGAUCGUAUGCACUGCUCUGAUACCAUGAAAACAGAUGCGUGAGAUUCUCCAUAUUCAAGGCGGCCAAUGCAGACACCAGAUCGGAGCAAAGUUCUGGGAGGUAGUUUGUGCAGAACAUGGUAUUGAUGUGACUGGAAAGUACACCGGAGAGGAGAUUCUGAGCUUUAGCUCGAGAGGAUUAAUGUGUAUUACAAUGAGGCUAGCGACGGAAGGUUUGUUCCACGCGUCGUGCUUAUGGAUCUGGAGCCAGGAACGUUGAACAGUCUCAGAUCUGGAGCGUACGACCAGAUCUUCCGACCGAAUACGUUAUGUUUGGGCAGUCCGGUGCCGGUAAUAAUUGGGCGAAAGGUCAUGAAGCAAAGUUGACUCUACAUGGUCUCGUACAGCACUACAUCAUUGAGCGAGAUCAAGUCGUGAUAUUUGUCAAAAGUGUAAGCAGAGAAGUUGAGCUCAACAAAUUGCUUGUGGAGUGUAAUUUCCCAUCAAUCUGCAUCCAUUCUGGCAUGU